rnacentral:rRNA from 1 species
AAAUUUGGACAAUGGGGGAAAGCCUGACGCAGCAAUUCCGCGUGGGGGACUAAGGCCCUAGGGUUGUAAACCCCUUUUGCGAGGGAAGAAGUUCUGACGGUACCUCGCGAAUAAGCCACGGCUAACUACGUGCCAGCAGCCGCGGCAAUACGUAGGUGGCGAGCGUUGUCCGGAUUUACUGGGCGUAAAGAGCCCGCAGGCGGCUCGGCAAGUUUCAGGUGAAAUCUCCCGGCUCAACUGGGAGGGGUCCUGGAAAACUGCUGGGCUAGAGGCAGGGAGAGGGAUGUGGAAUUCCCGGUGUAGUGGUGAAAUGCGUAGAUAUCGGGAGGAACACCAGUGGCGAAGGCGGCAUCCUGGCCCUGUCCUGACGCUGAGGGGCGAAAGCGUGGGGAGCAAACCGG